rnacentral:rRNA from 1 species
GCGAACGCUGGCGGCAGGCCUAACCCCUGCAAGUCGAACGAACUCUUCGGAGUUAGUGGCGGACGGGUGAGUAACACGUGGGAACGUGCCUUUAGGUUCGGAAUAACUCAGGGAAACUUGUGCUAAUACCGAAUGUGCCCUUCGGGGGAAAGAUUUAUCGCCUUUAGAGCGGCCCGCGUCUGAUUAGCUAGUUGGUGAGGUAAAGGCUCACCAAGGCGACGAUCAGUAGCUGGUCUGAGAGGAUGAUCAGCCACAUUGGGACUGAGACACGGCCCAAACUCCUACGGGAGGCAGCAGUGGGGAAUCUUGCGCAAUGGGCGAAAGCCUGACGCAGCCAUGCCGCGUGAAUGAUGAAGGUCUUAGGAUUGUAAAAUUCUUUCACCGGGGACGAUAAUGACGGUACCCGGAGAAGAAGCCCCGGCUAACUUCGUG